CUUUACCGUACCGGCACUGCAGGCCUCUUAUGCAAAGAGUAAAACAUCAAAUCCCUCUAGCGUCAAGAAACAAGCUGAAAUAUCAACAACAAAUGAUUGUCAACAAAACCCUACUAAAACGAAACAACUGAGUAACAUAUUCUGUUGAAUUUAAAAUCUUUUGUCCAAGAGGAACAGCUAAAAAUUAAAAAGUCAACUUAGAAAGACUUCUAAAUAAAGAUUUGAAAGUUUCUUCAAGAGAAACUUCAAUGAUGGCGGAGUUUUGCAGUGUGCCCUGAUAACUGGAUAGACUACUUGGUAACCACAUCAUUCCAGUAAAAAAUGACAAUGAUUGGAAAGGGAGAUGUCUGAAGACUCACAAAUUUGCUUUGCAUCAGACUACAUUUCGAUGGAGAAAACCAUCAGAAAAUAGUAAAAAAUUGUGUUUCCAAUUGAAAUUUCAAAAAUUUAUCAUUUCUUUAACUUUUUAUUAUUUUUUUAUAUACAUUUGUGAAUAUUUAUAUACAGUGUACAAAUGAAAUGUUUCUGUUUGUCCUAAAUAGUAAAGCAUAUUUCGUUUCAUAUGAAAUAUCUUCCAAAAAUUCUGCUUCAAGAAAUUAUAAAGUGUAAUAUUGCCAGGAUCUAUUGCAAAAAAAAUUUGAAUUGUGAUAUAAUUUCUGUUAUUCAUAUAUAUUUUUUAUAAAUUUUAAUACCCAUGUACAAAAGCAAAAUCAUAUGCUUGACUUUCUAAGCAAUUUCCAGCAAACAAAUCAAAAAAUGGAUAUUUUGAUACAUUCAAACUGCAUGGAAUAUUAGUUGGUAUGAGCAUUUAUAAUUCCGUUCACAUACUAACACUAAAGUGAAAUUGCCCGUUAGUGACUAAAUAUAAUUUUCUUACCACGUACAUAAUAGAGAAAAAUUAUGCUUGUAAUUUGAAUAUGAAAGCAUAUUCUUUGCACAAAAUUGUAUUCUUGAUUAAGUGUAUUGUCUGUAUUAUUUACAGAAUUUAUGGAAAUAUAUGUUGAUACGUAUUGAAAUUUAAUUUUACAUUUACAGACAAGAUUGAUGAAAAUGAAAUAAACAGUUGAAGUUUAAUUGUGCAUUUAUAUAUGUAUAUGAAACAGAUUUGUUUAGGAAGUCUAUAAUAAGGAUUUAAUUGACCUAUCAUUUUAUUAAAAAAAAACAUUUACAGAUGCAUACCACAGAGAUGCCACUUGAAUGUGAUGUGUGUAAUAAAACAUUUUCUCAGAAGGGAAAUUUAGUAAAACAUGUACGCACGCAUACAAAACAGCAAACAUUUGCAUGUGAAGUGUGUAAUAAGAUAUUCUCUGAUAAAUGGAGUUUAAAGAAACAU